CUCCAUUCAGACUCUAUUAGGAGGAAUACUGACACAGACAGGAAGCAGAUCACCUGUACCAGAUCCACAGACACAGACAGGAAGCAGAUCAGAGAGCAUUGAGAAAACAGUAUUGUACAUAAAGGAGAGGAU